rnacentral:rRNA from 1 species
CCUACGGGAGGCAGCAGUGGGGGAUAUUGCACAAUGGGGGAAACCCUGAUGCAGCGACGCCGCGUGGGCGAAGAAGUAUUUCGGUAUGUAAAGCCCUAUCAGCAGGGAAGAAGAAAUGACGGUACCUGAGAAAGAAGCACCGGCUAAAUACGUGCCAGCAGCCGCGGUAAUACGUAUGGUGCAAGCGUUAUCCGGAUUUACUGGGUGUAAAGGGAGCGCAGGCGGCACGGCAAGCCUGAUGUGAAAGCCCGCGGCCCAACCGCGGGACUGCAUUUGGAACUGCCGGGCUGGAGUGCUGGAGGGGGAGGCGGAAUUCUGGGUGUAGCGGUGAAAUGCGUAGAUAUAAGGAGGAACACUAGUGGCGAAGGCGGGCUGCUGGACGGUAACUGACGCUGAGGCGCGAAAGCGUGGGGAGCAAAAAGGAUUAGAUACCCGUGUAGUC